UAGCCUUGACAUAUUUUAGAACUCCGUAAAGAUACAGAGGUGCCUUCGGGAGCUAAUAUACAGGUGCUGCACGGCUGUCGUCAGCUCGUGUCGUGAGAUGUUGGGUUAAGUCCCGCAACGAGCGCAACCCUCGUCACUAGUUACUAACGGUUCGGCCGAGGACUCUAGUGAGACUGCCUUCGUAAGGAGGAGGAAGGUGAGGACGACGUCAAGUCAUCAUGGCCCUUACGGCUAGGGCAACACACGUGCUACAAUGGCCAGGACAGUGAGACGCGAUACCGCGAGGUGGAGCAAAUCUAUAAACCUGGUCUCAGUUCGGAUUGUAGUCUGCAACUCGACUACAUGAAGCUGGAAUCACUAGUAAUCGUAGAUCAGCUAUGCUACGGUGAAUACGUUCCCGGGUCU
rnacentral:rRNA from 1 species